rnacentral:rRNA from 1 species
GACGAACGCUGGCGGCGUGCUUAACACAUGCAAGUCGAACGGAAAGGCCCUGCUUUUGUGGGGUGCUCGAGUGGCGAACGGGUGAGUAACACGUGAGUAACCUGCCCUUGACUUUGGGAUAACUUCAGGAAACUGGGGCUAAUACCGGAUAGGAGCUCCUGCUGCAUGGUGGGGGUUGGAAAGUUUCGGCGGUUGGGGAUGGACUCGCGGCUUAUCAGCUUGUUGGUGGGGUAGUGGCUUACCAAGGCUUUGACGGGUAGCCGGCCUGAGAGGGUGACCGGCCACAUUGGGACUGAGAUACGGCACAGACUCCUACGGGAGGCAGCAGUGGGGAAUAUUGCACAAGGGGCGGAAGCCUGAUGCAGCAACGCCGCGUGCGGGAUGACGGCCUUCGGGUUGUAAACCGCUUUCGCCUGUGACGAAGCGUGAGUGGCGGUAAUGGGUAAAGAAGCACCGGCUAACUACGUG